rnacentral:rRNA from 1 species
AGAGUUUGAUCCUGGCUCAGGACGAACGCUGGCGGCGCGCCUAACACAUGCAAGUCGAACGAGUGAGAGAGAGCUUGCUUUCUCGAGCGAGUGGCGAACGGGUGAGUAACGCGUGAGGAACCUGCCUCAAAGAGGGGGACAACAGUUGGAAACGACUGCUAAUACCGCAUAAGCCCACGGGUCGGCAUCGACCAGAGGGAAAAGGAGCAAUCCGCUUUGAGAUGGCCUCGCGUCCGAUUAGCUAGUUGGUGAGGUAACGGCCCACCAAGGCAACGAUCGGUAGCCGGACUGAGAGGUUGAACGGCCACAUUGGGACUGAGACACGGCCCAGACUCCUACGGGAGGCAGCAGUGGGGAAUAUUGCACAAUGGGGGAAACCCUGAUGCAGCGACGCCGCGUGGAGGAAGAAGGUCUUCGGAUUGUAAACUCCUGUUGUUGAGGAAGAUAAUGACGGUACUCAACAAGGAAGUGACGGCUAACUACGUGCCAGCAGCCGCGGUAAAACGUAGGUCACAAGCGUUGUCCGGAAUUACUGGGUGUAAAGGGAGCGCAGGCGGGAAGACAAGUUGGAAGUGAAAUCUAUGGGCUCAACCCAUAAACUGCUUUCAAAACUGUUUUUCUUGAGUAGUGCAGAGGUAGGCGGAAUUCCCGGUGUAGCGGUGGAAUGCGUAGAUAUCGGGAGGAACACCAGUGGCGAAGGCGGCCUACUGGGCACCAACUGACGCUGAGGCUCGAAAGUGUGGGUAGCAAACAGGAUUAGAUACCCUGGUAGUCCACACCGUAAACGAUGAUUACUAGGUGUUGGAGGAUUGACCCCUUCAGUGCCGCAGUUAACACAAUAAGUAAUCCACCUGGGGAGUACGACCGCAAGGUUGAAACUCAAAGGAAUUGACGGGGGCCCGCACAAGCAGUGGAGUAUGUGGUUUAAUUCGACGCAACGCGAAGAACCUUACCAAGUCUUGACAUCCCUUGACGAACAUAGAAAUAUGUUUUCUCUUCGGAGCAAGGAGACAGGUGGUGCAUGGUUGUCGUCAGCUCGUGUCGUGAGAUGUUGGGUUAAGUCCCGCAACGAGCGCAACCCUUACUGUCAGUUACUACGCAAGAGGACUCUGGCAGGACUGCCGUUGACAAAACGGAGGAAGGUGGGGAUGACGUCAAAUCAUCAUGCCCUUUAUGACUUGGGCUACACACGUACUACAAUGGCGUUAAACAAAG